rnacentral:tRNA from 1 species
GCCCCUGUAGCCCAAUUGGAAGAGGCACUUUACUUAAGAUAAAGAACGUACAGAUUCGAGUUCUGUCAGGGGCA